UCAGAAUCAGAGAGGUGCGGGGAGGUGGCUUAAUCAUUGAGAUCAGAGCAGGUCUCAUAUGGAAGUGGAUCUACAGUGUCUGCACUGGAAAUCUAAUGGAACUCACUGAAUGAAACUAUGGGCAUCUUUGCUGAGAGGGCGUUACCAUCCCACUGAUGCACAAUGAUGUCAUCAAGCAGUAGCCUGACUUCUUGGAUCUCGAGAGGGCUUACAGCAACUUCGUCACAGACUUCAUCACCCAGUCUGCCAGGAUGAAACAACGCUUCUUCCUCUACUACCCCUCCCAUCACACCCACUACCCCCAUUAUGCAGGCCUAGCAGCGUUAGGGUGGUCUCAUAGGGGUCCUUUUGGUGAUGCUCUACUGGAGUUUGACUCUACAUUAGGGAACCUGCUGUCAGCUCC